rnacentral:lncRNA from 1 species
CUAAAUGAAAAUUAUAUUAAAAAGAAAGAAAAGAUACAAGAUCUAGGGGCAUUCCCCGCGAUAAGGAAGCUAAUGUGGAAAAAGUCCCAAAACAGAAAGGAACUUUUCCACAAAAAGAUAGGAAAAAACAAUAAAAGCUUAACAGCCAAUCAUCACUAGAGAAUCACAACUAAUACAGAAUAUGGCUAAGAUGGGGUGAAUCACUUAAUUUCCUUCGAAAUAAGGGACAAGAGAAUAAUUUUUCUCUAUACAUUUGUUUAAUGAGCCUAUGAAGAUUGCCCACCGUCAUACUCCCAUUAUCAUGCACUCGGCUGUUACGUUCCCUCCAAACCAAAUAAAUAACCACUGUAAUGUAAAGGUAGGCCAGCUGCUUCUCAAAAACAGUGAGGUUAUCAAUAAAGAAAUUUCCCGAAAGCCAAUCAUUCCAGUAGAGAGUAAUAGCAAAUGGACAAGCACGUAGUAAUAAGUAAGUGUAAGGGCAGGAGGAGAAAAGAUGCUCCACACUCUCAGCAGAACUACGACACAAGCAUUAUACAUUUUAUACAUUUUUAACUCACUUUUAAAUAAAUAAAAAAUUUAUAUAUUAUAAGCCAAAAUUUACGAACACUUCCGCCCACUCUAAAUCACAUAUAAUUUGAAACAAAAAAUUUCGGUUGUUGCAAUUUACGAGUGCAAUAAUCUAUAAAUUUAAAAGGAUUAUAAAUAAUUUUAAUUUUUUUUUACGGAGUUUCGGAGUUUUUAGAUAAAUUAUGGAGUGGAUGCACACUUUAAAUGUCGUGGGUUUUGAAGUAUUUUCAUUAAUAUAACACACACAGAACAAUACCACAUAACUAUAAAUUUCAAAAAAACUAUCAGUUCUAACUAUUACCAAAUUUUAAUGAAUUUUAUAUAAUUUGAUUUGAAUGCCACUAGAUUGUUUUUAAGUAUGAUAUAAAAUCUUGAUUAAAUAUCAUGAAAUUAUAUUGAUUAAUUUAAAUUCUUAAUUAAAUAUCACAAGAUUCUAAAACACAUUUCAAAAUCCAAACUGAAUAAUUUCAAAAAUGAAAAAUAAAUAAAUUCCUACAUGAUUAUGUCCUAUAAAAACUACUCUCUUUCACCCGCCCAGUUCUUUACACAGGGGAUAAAUGACUCGACACAGCUUUUCAAGUCUUCUAAGAGCAUUUCCAAUGGUGCUCUUAACUCAUAUUUUAUUAUUAUUUGAGAGAAAAGUUGGAGAGAGAAUUAGAGAGAAGUGAAUAGAAAUAGAAUGAAGUGAUUAUUUUAUUCAAUGAAAAAUAAGUUAGGAGCACCUAGAUGCUCUUUAAACAAAAGGAGAGAGAGGAAACUCUUAAAUUUGUAAAGAGCUACUAGGAGCCCAUUGGAGCUCUAAUUUUUCCAAUAUUCUUAAAAUUUAGAUUUAAGAGCUUGUUUGAGGAGCAUAUUGGAGAUGCUCUUAAUAUAACUAGUUGAGAAACCGCGAGUUGCGGCGGCCUAUAAAAAUUAUAUUAAUGAUUCAAUAUUAAUAUUUGUAGAAUAAAAUAAUAUUGUGGCUGUCUAUAGAAAGUAUAUUAAUAUUUUAAAAUUAAUAUUUGUUAAAAUAAUUUUAUAUUAUAAAAAUCUUGAUAUAAUACAAAUACUAAUAUAUAAAAUUGCAAAAUUGGACAAUAAUUCACGGUGAAAAAAUGUAAAUAAAUUUAUACACGUAAUUAAUAACUUAAAGCACGACGAAUCAUAAUUUUAUUUGUUUUUUUUAAGUAAUCAUGUUCUUACAUUCUCACCUUACUCCAAUUUUUUGAAUAUAUUGCGCACAAAAACAUCUAACUUAAAUCCGUGAGAUAGCGGUCUAUAAACUUGUUCAUCCAUCAAUAUCAUGUCAAGACUAUAUUUUUUCCCCGUGUUUGGAUUUAUCGACUCCAACAUAACGGUCUACAAAUACCUUUGCUUGCAGCAACUUUUAUUUUUUUUAAUACUGUAUAAACAGCUUCUUCGCUAAAUGAGUUGGAAACAACUUGUAACUUCAUUCCGGACUUGUUUGAAGUUGACACCAACUUGUAGCUUCACUUUCGGUUGUUAUUAUAAAUCGAGCGAGAGGCACCAGAGAAAGGUAGGGUUGUUGUAUUGAGAGAGAGAGGAGGUUGUGUUUAGAUGAUCCAAAACCCUACGAUCUUGACUCGUUUGAGCCCGGAAACAACUUGUAGAUUCAUUGUUGACUCGUUUGAAGUUGAAAACAACUUGUAGGUUCAUUUUCAGUUGUUUGAAAUUGGAAUCAACUUGUAGUUUCAUUCUUGACUCGUUUGAGCCCGGAAACAACUUGUAGCUUCAUUNCAAUCUAUACGGUUAUUUAUAAGUGCAGAGAGACUUGUGUGCUUCUCUUUCCCAUAAUUAAAAUAAUUUGAAACAAAAUCAAAUUAAAAUUUUCAAGCUACUAUAUUCCAUAAAUAAUCUGAAACAAAAUUAUAUCCUGAAACUUGCUUCUAAUAUACCCGAAACUAAAAAAGGUAGUUCUAAUUUUUGAUAUUUUUCCAUAAAUAAUUUGAAACAAAAUUAUAUCCUGAAACUUGCUUCUAAUAUACCCGAAACUAAAAAAGGUAUUUCUAAUUUUUGAUAUUUUUUUCAUCCAAAAAUUCCAGAAAAUUAGAAAAAUAGAACGGAGCGAUGUGAUAUGCGCCACCUACACACCCCCGCCUCUCCUUUAUAUAAGUAUACAAGUGAAAAAAGCCGCGCUNCCCCCCGCCUCUCCUUUAUAUAAGUAUACAAGUGAAAAAAGCCGCGCUUCGCGGCGGCGUUAUAAUUUUAAUACGAAUUAAUAUUAUAAUAACAUAAAAAUUAUUUUGAGUUAUCUUCCCGUUAAACAUAUCACUAAUAAAAAAACAUUAUAGUUGGUAUAAAAAUUUGUUUAAGUGGCCAUCCUGUCAAAUACAAUACUAAUAAUAAGAUUAGUUCGAACCGCACUCCCGUCAAAUACAAUAUUAAUCCAUAAUUAUUAUUUUUAUAAUAAAAUUAAAUAUUAUAAUUUAGAUCAAAAUUAGUUUGAGCCGCUAUUUUGUCAAACAUAAUACUAAUAACAAAAAUAUUAUAAUUUAGAUAUUAGUUUGAGUCGCCUUAUUGUCAAACACAAUACUAAUAAAAAUUAUUCUAAUGCACACGUUAAGAAUAUAUAGAUUAUGAUAAUAUUAAAAAUUAUAACUGGAUAAAAAUUAUUUUGAACCGUGGUCCCGUUUUAACAAAAAAAAUAUAUUAUAACAUAGAUAACAAAUUAUUUUAGCCACUUUCACGUCAAACAUAAUACUAAUAGAAAAUUUAUUAUUAUUUAGAUAAAAAUUAGUUUGGGACGCCUCCCGUGCCCGUCAAACACCGUACUAAUCAAAAAUCAUUUACAAUAUCAUAAAAUUAAUAUAUGAUUUCUAUUUUAUAUAUCCUAUUUUAUUUGUUAAUUAUUUUUAUUUUAUGAUUAUUAUUUACUAGUUAAAAAUUAUUAUUCCUUUGUAGUUUUAAUUUUUUUGCUAUUAGUUUUUUUUAAUGAUUAUUAUCUUUACAAUCCUUUAUAUUCUAUUUGAAAUUUAAGAAACACGAUACUAAUAAUAAAAUUAGGUCGAACUGUACUCCCGUCAAAGACCAUAUUAAUCCAAAAUUAUUAUUCUUAUGAUAAAAUUAAAUAUUAUAAUUUACAUCAAAAUUAGUUUGAGCCGCUCUCUUGUCAAACACAAUACUAAUAACAAAAAAUUAUAAUUUAGAAAUUAGUUUGAGUCGUCAAACUGUCAAACACAAUAACAAUAAAAAUUUUAAAUUAUGACAAAAUUAAAGAUUAUAAUUGGAUAAAAAUUAUUUUGAACCGUGGUCCCGUUUUGACAAAAACAUAUAUUAUAACAUAGUUAAAAAGUUAUUUUAGCCACUUUCCCUUCAAACAUAAUACUAAUAGAUAAUUUAUUAUUAUUUAGAUAAAAAUUAGUUUGGGCCGCCUCCCGUGCCCGUCGGACACAAUACUAAUCAAGAAUCAUUUACAUUAUCAUAAAAUCAAUAUAUGAUUCAUAUUUUAUAUAUCCUAUUUUAUUUGUUAAUUAUUUUUAUUUUAUGAUUAUUUAUUAGUUAAAAAUUAUUAUUCUUUUAUGGUUCUAAUUUCUUGGCUAUUAGAUUUUUUAAUGAUUAUUAUUUUUACAAUCCUUUAUUUCCUAUUCAAAAUUUAAGAAAAUUAUAAGAAUAAAUCGAAAAUAAAAAUUGCACGUACUACCUUACAAAUCUUAAAUAUAAAUUAUAUUUUAUCUAUGAUUGUUAGUUUAAAUAAAUAUAAUCAUAUUUUUUUUAGGAUUACUAAAUAAGAAAAACUUGUAUUACUUUUAGAAUCCAAAAAGAAAAGAAUUGUAUUAACUUUAAGAUCCUAUUCCUUUUAGAAAAGAAUAUAUCAUAACUUAUAUAAAAAAUUAUUNUUCAAAAACAGUGAGGUUAUCAAUAAAGAAAUUUCCCGAAAGCCAAUCAUUCCAGUAGAGAGUAAUAGCAAAUGGACAAGCACGUAGUAAUAAGUAAGUGUAAGGGCAGGAGGAGAAAAGAUGCUCCACACUCUCAGCAGAACUACGACACAAGCAACAAACCG